rnacentral:rRNA from 2 species
CCUACGGGAGGCAGCAGUAGGGAAUCUUCCACAAUGGGCGAAAGCCUGAUGGAGCAACGCCGCGUGGGUGAAGAAGGUCUUCGGAUCGUAAAACCCUGUUGUUAGAGAAGAAAGUGCGUGAGAGUAACUGUUCACGUUUCGACGGUAUCUAACCAGAAAGCCACGGCUAACUACGUGCCAGCAGCCGCGGUAAU